AGUGAACGCUGGCGGUAGGCCUAACACAUGCAAGUCGAACGGCGGCACAGUAAGAGCUUGCUCUUACGGGUGGCGAGUGGCGGACGGGUGAGGAAUACAUCGGAAUCUACUUUUUCGUGGGGGAUAACGUAGGGAAACUUACGCUAAUACCGCAUACGACCUACGGGUGAAAGCAGGGGAUCUUCGGACCUUGCGCGAUUGAAUGAGCCGAUGUCGGAUUAGCUAGUUGGCGGGGUAAAGGCCCACCAAGGCGACGAUCCGUAGCUGGUCUGAGAGGAUGAUCAGCCACACUGGAACUGAGACACGGUCCAGACUCCUACGGGAGGCAGCAGUGGGGAAUAUUGGACAAUGGGCGCAAGCCUGAUCCAGCCAUACCGCGUGGGUGAAGAAGGCCUUCGGGCUGUAAAGCCCUUUUGUUGGGAAAGAAAAGCAGCAGGUUAAUACCCCGCUGUUCUGACGGUACCCAAAGAAUAAGCACCGGCUAACUUCGUG
rnacentral:rRNA from 1 species